CCAAAAUGGUGGCUACUUCAAAAUUGAAAUUAAAAACUACAUCAUAAAGUGGACAUUUUCUCUUUGUAUUUCGGAAGAAAUUUUGAUGAUAGAACUAUCUAACGGUACUCGAAAACUUUUUCUUUAAUUAUAAAAUGAUUCGAAACCGUGUGGAGGAUUUUAACGCUCAGAAACAGAGCCCAAGAGUUGGACAAGAAGCACUAUUUUUGG
rnacentral:lncRNA from 1 species